rnacentral:rRNA from 1 species
CAAGGGCACUCUAAUGAGACUGCCGGUGACAAACCGGAGGAAGGUGGGGAUGACGUCAAGUCCUCAUGGCCCUUAUGGUAGGGCUUCACACGUCAUACAAUGGUCGGUACAGAGGGUUGCCAAGCCGCGAGGCGGAGCCAAUCCCACAAAGCCGAUCGUAGUCCGGAUCGCAGUCUGCAACUCGACUGCGUGAAGUCGGAAUCGCUAGUAAUCGUGGAUCAGCAUGUCACGGUGAAUACCGUUCCCGGGUCUU